rfam:Clostridium pasteurianum DSM 525 = ATCC 6013, complete genome.
ACUGUGGAGUGCUAUACAAACUGUAGUAGCCUCGGCAAGGCAGAGUACAUCGAAGCAGUAA